rnacentral:rRNA from 1 species
GUCCUUUAGAUUAUAAUUUAAGGUCUGACCUGCCCAAUGAUUAUUUUAAAUGGCCGCAGUAUUUUGACUGUGCAAAGGUAGCAUAAUCAUUAGUUUUUUAAUUGAAAGCUGGAAUGAAUGGUUUGAUGAAAAAAUAGCUGUCUCAAUAAAAUUUAUUUAGAAUUUUAAUUUUAAGUGAAAAAGCUUAAAUGUUUUAUGAAGACGAGAAGACCCUAUAGAGUUUAAUAUUAUUUUUACUAAUUGUUUUAGGUUUAUUUUUCAUAUUAGUAUUAAUAGUGUUUUGUUGGGGUGACAUAAAAAUUUAAGUAACUUUUUAUUUUUUUUAUACAUUAAUUUAUGGAUUCGUGAUCCUUAUUUUUGGAUUAUAAGAUUAAAUUACCUUAGGGAUAACAGCGUAAUUUCUUUGGAGAGUUCUUAUCGAUAAGGAAGUUUGCGA